rnacentral:rRNA from 1 species
UACGAGGGGGGCAAGCGUUGUUCGGAAUUACUGGGCGUAAAGGGCGUGUAGGUGGUUUCGUAAGUCUGGCGUGAAAUUUUUCGGCUUAACCGGGAAAGGUCGUCGGAUACUGCGGAGCUAGAGGACGGUAGAGGCGUGUGGAAUUCCGGGUGUAGUGGUGAAAUGCGUAGAGAUCCGGAGGAACACCAGUGGCGAAGGCGACACGCUGGGCCGUACCUGACACUGAUGCGCGACAGCAUGGGGAGCAAACAGG